UGGCAUUUACACAGUAGUUGAUCUUAACAAACUUAUUGCAGUCGGAUGCUUAGUUAAAACAAUUUAACAGCAUUUCACACAAUUUUCCAUAUUUACAAACAAAUUUUAAUGCGACGGUAAUUUUUUAAUUAUUGUUUUAUUUUUAAGUAUAUGAAAGUCGUUUGACGUCGUCGGUCGCUGAGCGUUCAUCAUUUUAAGCGAGCGUUUAAACAUCCAGUCGGAUGCAUAUUUUUGGCACCAAACCCGUAACCGUAAAUGCGACACAACGGAGAUGACAUCACGGCCGGAUUGCGGCCAACUUGCGUACUUUUCGCAACGCGCUUAGCGGUACUUUCGCAGUCACCACCCCAAAUAUAUAUAGACAUACAUAUAUAUAAACAAGUAACCCACCGAAAA